rnacentral:lncRNA from 1 species
UGUAGCCUAAGUCCCUUUUAUGCUCUGAAGGACGACACCUCGUCUAUGACCAUCUUUCUAUACUUCAAAGAAGUAUAAAUGAUCACCUUGUCUAAGUCCCUUCUAUACUUCAAACCGUAUACUAACUGCUUUCUAUGACAUAGUAUGAGAUUAGUAAAGAUAUGACUCCUGCACCUAACUCAAUUCCAAAAGCUAGAUUAUCGGGGAGGGAAUUAUCCAAGUCUACAUAAGCAAACUGUUAGAUCUUCAAUUAAAGUGGGACUUUCACCCAUUCUAAUACCCCCUUCACGCUCAAGGCUCAAUUCGACCGUGGACCGGGAGCACAAACGAGGAUGGAUUUGACUCUGAUAUCAUAUAUGAUAUGACAGUUGGCCUAACUCAACCCCAAAGCUAGCUCGGAGGUGGGAUUGUUCAAAUCCACAUAAGCAAACCUCAAUCCAUUCUCCAACCAAUGUGAGACUUUCACCCACUCUACCAAGAUUGAUAUAAUGCAAGUUAUGAUUUAUUACAAAUUUGUUCACGAAAUUCAUACAUAUAAGAACUUAUUCUAGAAAUGUCCUACAACAACAAUAAUGACAGUACUCAGUAAAUUUCAUAAGCAGGAUUUAGGGAGUGUAGAGUGUAUGUUGAUCUUACCACUACUUCUUAGCUCGGAGGUAGACAAGUUGUUUUUGAAGGAUCCUGGCUCAAGUAUACUAGAUCGGAUUUAAAAAAAAACAGUAAAAAAAUAUAUCAAUUAAUAAGUAAAGCAAUGCAAAACCUAUAAAAAAGGAACACUAAUAACUUGUUAAAGAUGAUAGAAUACUUACUUUGUUAAAGAUGAUAGAAUACUUCUUUAAAAUAACAAGAAAAUGAAACGGUAUGCAUACAUUUUUUUUUUUAACACAAUAUCAAAUAUAUCAUACAACAGAACAUUUCAUGACCAUGACCAACCAUCCAUAGGAACUAUUCAAUGGUUUUAUUCAUACAAGCAAAAGUUCUAAAUAAAGUAGCAAGAUUAUUAUGUUCUUGCUACUUCCAUUACAAAGGAUUACAUUAAUAAUACAUAAUUAAGCACUAAUUAAUUAGUUCUGUGGCUCAGAUUCAGUGGCUAUUCCCAAGGCCAUGUAUUCUUCAUAGGUGCAGCAUUUGUGAUAUUUGCAUUUAUGGUAACAUCCUUUAUGAUAGCCACCCUUUUUAUAGCCACCUCCGCCAUAGUAAUGGUCAACAUCUACUUCUUUUUCCGCUGCAUCGAUGAAUUGAGAAUAUUAAAACUAGUGAAUAUGCAUUGACUGAUCUUUGAAUUGAAAUUUCUUUUACUAUACAUAUAUUUAUAUAAAUUUUUUUGUUUUAAUCUGAUAUGUUUAAGUUCGCAAGAUUCAAAGGAUAUUUUAAUAUGUUCUACACACAUUUAUAUAAAUUGGUUCUUUUUUUUUUUUUUUUCUUUGGAAUGAAUUCAAUUACAUAAAGAGAAUGAAAGAUGGUACUUACAGUUGGGAGUCUCAGUCAAGUUGGGAGUCUCAGAUUCAGUGGCUAUUCCCAAGGCCAUGUAUUCUUCAUAGGUGCAGCAUUUGUGAUAUUUGCAUUUAUGGUAACAUCCUCCUUUAUGAUAGCCACCCUUUUUAUAGCCACCGCCGCCAUAGUAAUGGUCAACGUCUACUUCUUUCUCCGCUGCAUCGAUGAAUUGAGAAUAUUAAAACUAAUGAAUAUACACUGUCUAAUCUUUGAAUUGAAAUUUCUCUUACUAUACAUAUAUCUAUAUAAAUUUUUAGUUUCAAUAUAAUAUAUUUAAGUUCGCAUGAUUCAAAGGAUAUUUUAAUAUGUUCUACACACCUUUAGUUUAGUUUAUAAGGAUUGAAAAGUUUAUGCUAUAUUCUUCAAAUUCAUGCAUAGCGAGUGAGACAUAAAAUGAAGCAUAAGGAAGGUAUAUCAAGUGUCAUGAUCAAGCUAGUGUUAGUAAAACAUUAGCUUAUCGUCUAACAUUCAUAAAACCUUACAAAUUUUAAUUCAUGGUCUAAUUUUAUAUGCUGGACAUAUCUUUAAUAUGUUACUUUUUUUUUUAUUUAAAGUUAAUUACCCAGAGAUUCGAUGGAAAGAGCAAUAAAAACGCAUAAAGUAAUGCGUAAAGAUAUGCUAAUAUGCCUACAUAGUAACAUCAAUAGUUUUUUUUUUUUUUCUUCGAAUGAAUUCAAUUACAUAAUGAAAGAUAUACUUACUGUUGGGAGUCUCACUCAACUCCCUAGCUACUACUUCGGAGCUUAUCAUUAAGAAAAUAGCCAAAAAUAGGCCUAGCAAUAGAAAUGUUUUGGAACCCAUUCUUUUUUUAUUCCAAAGCUUAGUACUUAUAAUAACUCAAAAUUGAGGGAUGAAGAAACUGAUACAUUCUUGGGCUCUAUUUAUAGGAAGAUUUAUGUGCAUAAAUAAUUGAAGAGAGAUGUAAAACUAGGAGGGGGAGGGACAUGUAUUGGGAUGCAAUUAUUGUUGUGGACCAAAGAAACUUAACAACUUGGUCUACAAGUGAGUUAAAAGAGAUUGUUGAAUUAACUUACUCAAAUUUUUUUUUAAAGUGACAACUCUAACAAGUUUUGUUGUUACUAUAGUAAAGUUGUAAGUAUAUUCUUAAUCUUAAUCAAAUAUUUUAAACUUGAGUUUUGCAUAUGAAGAUCAUUUGUUGACAGUGUUUUAUCAUCUGAAACUUUUUGGUGUGUAUUCCAAAUUUAAUUUAGAUCUAAUACAAAUAUAGUGAUAUAUGAAUACUAGACAUCGAAUGAAACAUAAAAUAAAGUAAAAAAACAAGUCAUCUACAAAGUGUAGGCGUUGCAAGAAAAGUUUUCACAAUGUUCCAACUAAGAAAAUAAAACAAAAAAGAAAAUGAAGAACCUAACGGAUAUUGUGAGUGAUUUUGUUGAAUAUUUUGUCAAUUUGAAUUAUGACAAACGCUUUAUUAGUCACGCAAAUAUUAUGACUUAAUAAGGGUGUGUUUUGCAUGAAGAAAAAUGUUUUUUCAUGAAAUACAUUUUCAUAGAAAAUAUUUUCUCGAAAUAUAAGUGAUUUUUUUAGUUAAUUUUUGAUAAGUAAGUAAAACUGUAAAAGAAUAUUAUAAUAUUAAGAACAUUUAAAUAAAUCUCGCAAUAAGAGGGUUGGAGAAUGAGGGUGAACGGGUAAAAUACUCAAGGGUUGUAGGUGUUGGAAAGCAAAAUUGAAGUAGAUAAAUUUAAUAUUUAAGUUUUAAAAUAUGAAUGUUUGAAAACUCUGUAAAAAUGCUAUAAGCUACUCUCUUCGUUUUAAAUUACUUAACCUCUUUGUACUUGACCCACCCUUUAAGACGCAAAACGAUUGAAGGUGUAUUUUUACCCUUAUAUCCUAAUAUUUAAGCAAUGAUUAUGGAGCAGAAGCCAAAAAUCAAUUUAUUUGAAAAAUUAGAUUUAUUAAACAAAAAUGACUAUGGAGUAGUACUAAAAGGGAGCAAGGAUCGUUUACAUUUAAAUGACUUUGGAAUUAAAUAAUUCUAUUUUUAAAAUUUUUAGAAAGUAUAAUGCUUAAUAGGGAUGAAAGUGAAAAAAGAAAUCUAAAAUAAUCUCAAUUUUAUAAACAUGAUAAGUAAUUUAAAAUAAAUAAAUAUAAAAAAUAGGCCAAAAAAUUUAAAAGAGAAAGAAUAUAAUAAUAUUAAUAUAAUAGAAAAAAUGCAUCUUAAGUUGUUAGUAAUUCAUCUGCAAUGAAACACCGUUAAAGUAGAUUUGGGUUGGUGGCCCAGAAAUUAAUGCACGUAGAAAAUUUCAAAGUCUUACUUAUCAACAGAGGCGGACGUAGAGUAGAAGCAAAAAUCCAUAUCUGUUAUUGUAAGACUUAAAAUUAUAUAGAGAAAUCGUUAAAAGUUAUAAAUAUUAAUAGGUAAGAACCAUAACUAAACCAAAGGAUAGCUUAGUGGCAAGAAAAGAGCCCUUAAAAAUCCACAAAUUCAAAAUUUUGAAUCCGCCUAUGCUUAUCAAUUGACUUAUCAAAGGCUCUUCCAUCUUGCUCUGCUGCCACAUCACUUAAUCUUCUCCAAAAAAAUAUUUUUCAUGAAAAAUAAUAUAAUUCCACCCAAUGACAAAUAUUAUUGGCAUAUAUAAGGUGUGUUCGUUAUGAUACUUUUUAAAAAAUAAUUUUUUAAAAUAAAACUAGAAAAAACAAAUUUUACUAACAAAACUUAUCUUCACCAACCCAUCCCCAUUCCCCAUCAAUCCAUAUUCCAUACCCCCACCGUCAUCUAGCACAUGGAUGGCACCACCUUCUUCUUAGGCGAAAGGUGGCUCAGUGCAUACUAUUUAUCAAAAAAUAAUGUGUUCUACUAAAAUUAAAGAUUAGUUAUUAUGAAUAUUUAUUUAAUUUUACAUAAUUAAAAAAGAUUUACACACACUUCAUUAAUAUAAUAUCCCUUGACUUACCUAUCGAACUCAAUAAAAUAAGUACCUACAUAUUUCUUUGAGAUCUAAUACAUCCAAUGUCAUAAUUCAUUCAAUAUUAAUAUAUAAUUAGAUAUAUAUUUUCGUAUUUAUUUUUAAAAAUUUGCCCAACUUGUAAGUUGUAGGACUACCUUAUCCUAAAAUAUCUAGAAGUAGUGGUGCAUACAUACUCUUUGAUAUAGUCAAUAUUUAGAGAAUUAAAUGACGAAUUCAAUGACUCUUUUAGUGUACGAUCAAGUUUAAAUAAGAGGGGACAAAUCUCUUCGAUUUGAUUAAAACUGGAGAAAAGUCUUCCAGAAAAGACCCAACAAUACAACAAUAAAAAUUCUUAUUUGUUUGGCCUAAUGCAUGGUAGAGUCAGAAUUUCUAGUAAAUGGAUUUUAAAAAUAAUUAACCAUGUUAAUAGGACUUUAAAAAUAAAUAGAUCAAAUUUGAUUUGAGUAAGUUAGACAAAGUUUCAACUUUACCUCAACAUGAAUAACAAAAUAUAGAAAGUUAAACUUUUUUAUUUUGAUCAUGCGGUCAAACAUACAAUCUUUAAAUUUUUUUUUAAAAUAAAUUACAUAUUUAGAAAUUACAUAAAAAGUAUAAUAAAUUACCAGAAUUGAAUUUUACGUUUAAGUUGUUUAUACAUUAACAUAAUAAACUAAUACUAAUUUUCUCUUAAUUUUAAGAAGAGAAGAUCUAAAAUAUUUUAAAUCAGUCAAAAUAGAUAAACAACAAACAAAAGUAUAAUUUUGUGAAAAAAAAAAAGUUAACCAUCAAAUUAAUAACCUGAAAAGUGAGAGAUAAGAGAAAUCAAAAGAGGGACAGAAUGUAAGAGAACAAGAAAGUAAUUAAGUAACUAGAAAUUUAAUCCCAAAGCUAAUAUAGAAGAUACAAAAAAAUGAUGUUAUUCAGACUCGAAUGCACGCUGAAUCAGAAAUUUUGCACCCUUCACCAUUGAACUAAGCUUUAGCCUUCUUUUCGAUGGUGGAAGGACCACGCUAGUCCUUUGAGUGUGUGGUGUGUAGUGGGUGCGUCUUAGUGUCUUCUUACUACGUGUCAAUGGGAUUCGGUGCUUAACAUAUAUACAAUAAAUCAAAAUUUUGAUUGUAUAUACACAGUGUAAUUUUUUGAAGAAGGGGGGUCGAUGAACCCCUGGACUCCAUGUAGAUCCGACAUUGCCUAAUAGAGUUUAUAUAUGUGUGUAUGUAUAUAUAUACACACACACUCAUAUACACACAUAUAUAUAUAUUGAUGGCAUAAAAUAUUCGUAUAUUAUUUAUUCAUCUUUAAAAUGUUUAUAAUUACUUUUUAGUAUUUAUGUUUUAGAGGAUGCACAGAAGACACAUAAAAUUUCAUAUUUUUAACACAAGUAUCUUAAUUCCUAAGUUGAUGAGGAAAAAAAAAAUGAGCAAGACAUAAGUCAACAGAGAUAUAUUUAGACUUAGAGGUCGUUUAAUAGAGUGUAUUAAAAUGUUAAUGCAUACAUUGGUUUAAUGUCUAUUAGUAGUACCUUGUUUGGUAUACCUUUUUAUCCUAUGUAUAACUAAUGCAAACAUUAGUUAUACACUCUAUUGUGUAUUAAGGUGUAUAUUACUAAUAACUCAAAAUUCAUGCAUUAACAUACUUAAAGACUCAAUUAUCCCUCAAAAAUUUUUUUGCAUCUUUUCCAACAUAUAUAUUGAGGGUAUUAUGUAAAAAAAAAAUUUUUUUUUAGAAAUUAUGUAAUUCAUGUUUUUUUAAUACAUCGAAGCAAACACUAUAUAAGAAAAAUAUAAAUAUAACUAAUACAAAUAUUAUUAAUACUAGCAUUACUAAUAUAUUAUAUUUUGUAUUAUUGUUAUACAUUUUACCAAACGAUCUCAUAGUGAUGGAGAGAGAAAUACUGUUUUGGAUCUUAUUGCUCCACGAUAUGAGAGAAUUUUCUAAAAGCUGACAUGAGCCACUAGUGCUUUUUUCUGCAUAAUACACAUAUAUUCUCACAUGCAAGUGUACAAGUAGGACCCAUAAGAGUGCAAGAGGAUUUAGCAUUCUUCAUACCAAACUUCUCAAGGAGCUCUUUGGUAUAUUUAUUUUGGCAAAGAAAGGUCCCCUCAGAUGACAGAUGUAUUUGCCAACUCAAAAUGAAUGUUGAUUUUUCUAUUAGAAUUUCCUUGCAUUAGAACAAAAUUUUUUUGCAUAAGACAAUAUUAUUACUUCCAAAGAUAACAUCAUAGAUCUGAAUAAUUAAGUUUUCAGAGGAAAUUCUUAUGAUAAAAGGAGUUGUAUUAAUUUCUUUUUUUAAAAAAAUAAAAUUGCGAUAAAGAAAUUGAUCUAUUUAUCAUAUCAAGCUCGAGAAGCUUGUUUUUAAAUCACAGAGAAUUUUUUGAAAGUUUAAAAACAUGAUUGGAAACCUAUGAUUUUCAAAACCUGAGGUUUUUACAAAAACUUAAUAAACCCAUUUAAAAACAUCCAUUUAAACAAGAUUUGAAUAGAUUCUAACCUUGUAACUGUUGCAAAAGUUUUAUCAUAAUUGUCUCCCUCUUGUUGUGAGUAGCCUUGAGCUAUUAGACAAACUUUUUUCUCCCAUAACUUUAUCUGAUUCAUUCAUCUCAUUUGGUUAUAAUGAUUAAGGCAUUCUCUAGUCCACACAUUAUUUUUAUCAAUUUGCUCGAGCUCUUUUUUCAUUGUUUUGACCCAAUAAUCAUCUUUUGAAGUCGCAUUCACUUUCAUUAGAUCAAGUUGAGAUAUGAAGGCAAUAUUUGCAUGUCUUUAACUGGAAUCUCUUAUAAGCCAUUAUUUUGAUCAUCUUAAUUAAGUGAUCGAUCAUGUUCACUUUGGAAUUGCUCCAAGUUCAAUUUGAUGCUUUAGAGGCAGCAGUUAAGCAGACAAUAAACUUAGUAGUAGAGUCAACAACAUUUCCCCCCUAUUAUUAUGAACAAAGCAUUUGUAUGAAAGUGCACAAUGUUGGGCCUUUGGUUGUUUCAAAUUUUGUAAAGAGUUUUCUUAAAUAAAUCUGCUGAGGCAUUUAUUGCUUUGCCAUUGGAGCUAUCUGUAAAACAUACUUCAAAAUCAUUUUCUUCUUCAAAUAAGCUUUGUACCCUGUGAAUUGAAUUUCCACUUUCAAGCUUCCAUUUCCUAUUAGCUUUUGAGUGGAGUUCCUGCAAAAUAAUUAUAUUACUUAUUUCUAUGUACCCAAGUGUUCUUAGGUAUCCCAUGGUUAGUUAAAUGUGUUGACUCAAUUUUGAGUCUCCAAAUUCAUUUGCUAGAAUUUCUAGAUCGAAAUCUGCAAUUAUAGUAUUUGUAAUUCGGUUUACCACGGUGAUAAUAAGAAGUAAGUAUUGUUCAGUGACUGCAUAAUAGGUAUUAUAAUUGUGAGUAGUUCUUUUAAUCGAUCGACUCGAGUUUAUUGACCGUUGAGAUCCUUCAUAGCUAUAGAAUCUACUAUUACAAGUUCCAGUGUCACAUUUGUCAGUUGACUGCGUCAACUGAAUUGAUCUGACAAUACUAUGACUUGUAGAUUUCGAAAGUCAUUAAUUUUAAUUUUUAAAUCAUCAACUUCUUAAUAUAAAUAAUUUUUUUCGAUUUCAUAAACUUCAAGUUUAAGUUUUCAGUCUCUUCUCUCUCUUAAUAAAGCCCUUUUUCUCAUCAUGGGCUUUAUUUCGAUCCGCGCUGGCAAGAUCUAACAGAUUUUACAGUUUAGAACAUUCAUUAUAGGAAUUGGUUCUUACCUAACUAGACUUUUCAAUUUUCAUGAAAUAACAGUCUCCAAUACUAUUGUUAUCAUGGUCGACUUGUUCUUUAUCAUCUUAGCCUUUUGAUUUUUUUUUUUUUCAUGGACUCUACAUGAAUAGAUUUCAAUUUGUUUCAUAUUUCUUUAGUUGUUUACAGGUGGAUAUUUUCUCACAUUCUUUUCCACUAAGAGCACAACGAAGCAAGUAGAUUGCCCUAACAUUUGUUUGCACAAUAUCCAAAUGUUCUUUUGUGUAGUCAAAUGUGACGGUCUUUUUUUCAAAUUUCUUUUCAUUAUUUUUCAAAAUCUGCCUUGGCCCAUUUUGAAUAACUAGUCAUGCUUUAUAAUUUGUUGAUUGAACGUAAGUGUUCAUUUUUGUGUUUCACUGACUAUAGUAUAGACUGUUAAGGAAGGUUGAUUGGCUUAUUGAAAGUCCCUCUUGAAAUAUGACUUCAGUAAUUUGAUAUUCUGCCAUGAAUCUGUAUUCAUUUUUUGUUAAGCAAAAACGGAGAUGUGAGACGAGGCUUUGAUAUCAAUUGAAAGUAGUAAGACGAGGAAAGGGGUGAAUUACUCUUGUUUUGACCAAACAAUCGACUUCAUUCAACAAUUAGUCGACUAUUGAUUGUAGUAAUAAAGUGUUCAGGAAAUAAGGAGCUGAAGAUAAAAUUAAACUAGAUAUUUGAUACUAAUUGAGACCUCUAAUUGGGUUUUACUUCAAUCUCCUUGGAUUGCAAGGGAUUCUACUAGUUCUUUAUGAAUAAAAUCAAAGUACAAGAUUGAGUCAAGUUUUUUGACUUUGACUCACCCUCUCUUCUUUUCUUUCAUACUUCGAUACAAUGUCUCAUCAAAUAUGUGUUUCUCUCCUCGAUCUCUUUUUAAGUACACAGUAAACGUUUAAGAGAAUACAUUGCUUGAGUAAAGUAGAGCAAAGAACUAGAAAAAAUUGAGACAAGUGUAUAUCUCUUUCUUAGUUUUUCAUUGCUUAAAUAGUACUGAUUAGACUACUACUAAUCAUUGAAAAAUAUGAGGCAACCCAAGAAUUUUUUUCCUUGAAAAUAAGAUAAAAAAAUCUUAUUUUCAAGAAUAGAAUGAAUCAUAUUAAUGAUUCCAAACUAUCCAUAAUAUUAUUUCAUAGAACUAGUCACACGCUUAAUGAAAUAUCAUGUUGUGGUACUUCUUUUCAUAGUGAUGCGGAUUUGUGAUUACCCUUGAAAGAGGAUACAUGUUUCUUUUCCCUUUUUAAAUUGAUUCUUUGAAAAAAAAAUUAUUUGCAGCCAAUUUUCCUUUUUAAUUGUAGUGAAGAAUAUUUGAUACUAUUUUCAGAGAUCGGGCUUUCUGAUUUGUAGCCACUUUUUCUUUUUAUUGUACCCAAGAAUCUUUGACAUCAAUAUACCUGCAGAGGAAGUCAUAUAUUAAAACAUCAGAUUAUCACAAAUCUCCGAUACCCAACAUAUUAUUUCUAUAAUAUGAAUUUUCUUCUUGGGUACAAAAUUUUAGAACAAAAAUGUCUGAACAGAUCGAGCAACAAUGAAAUUAGCUAUCCUCAUUGUUAAUUUAAAGCUAAAUUACUUGUAAUUAAUUAACAAACUUUUCAAUGAUUUAUUGCUAAUCCUUAGUCAAGUAAGAUUAACAAUAAUGCAUUAGCGAAGAAUCUUGUUAUUUUGCUAUAAAUUAAUUUGUCCAUCUUUAUUUUCUAGUAAUGAUAUUCUAAUUUUAAUGUUGUCCAAUUUGUAAUCAUUCCCCCUAAUUAUCUUCUCUAUCAAUCGACGAUAUUGUUGCAACUGAACAAUUGAAACCAUUAAAACUCAAUGAGACACCAAUAUAUGCUUGGACGGAUGAUCACCUUGUCUAUGUCCUAUUUACACUUCAAAGAAAUAUAAUUAAUCACCUUGGGUGUGUUUGGUACGAAGGAAAACAUUUUCCAGAAAAUGUUUUCCAAUUUUGUUGUGUUUCGUUGGCUUAUAUGUUUUGAAAAAUAUUUUUCAAACCAACUUAUUGUUCUUAAAUCUAAGGAAAAUGACUUCCUUCAAAGAGUAAGGAAAACAUUUUCCAAAACUCUCAUUCAAUCUCACUUUAAAGUUGAAAUAUUCGUACAAUUCUCAAAAUCAUCUAACUCGCCCCCUUGCCUCUCCCCCAAUACCCUAUCACCCCGACACUACCCCUACCCCCACCCCCAAAAUUUCAUUAUUUUAAAAAGUAUUUCAAAAUUUUUUCUUAAUCCAUCCCUUACCUCCACCCCACCCCUCUUCCAAAAAACAAUAUCUACAUUUUACUAAAAAAUUCAAACUUUUCUCUUAUCCCCCUUCCCUCCCCCCACCAGCCUCUCUCCCAUCCCUCCAUCCCAUAACCUAAAGAAAAAAAUUAAAUUUAUUUUUAAAAAAAUUUCAAUUUUUUUCCUCCCCCUUCCCCCUUCCCCCUCACUCCCCUAUCCUGACCCCUAGCUCCAGGGACGGACCCACGUGUAAUUUUGGAGUGCUUCGACACCCACUAAAUUCGACGUAGAUUAGGUAUAAUUAUAUAAAAAAUACAGAAUAAAUGGUAUAAUUUAUUAAAAAGCACCCAGAGAACAAACAUAUGGUUAGGUGUUCCCCCUCCCCCUCCCCCUAAAUUCAAUUUUUUUUCUUAUCCCGCCCCUACUACCUAUUCUGACACCCCCACCCACUCACCAACCAAUCCCCUUCCCAAAAAAAGAUUUAAUUUUUUUAUUUUUUAUUUAAAAAGGAUUCUAAAAUGUAUUUUUACGCUUUAUCUAAACACUAAUAUGUAUUUUUUGAAAAAUAUUUUUUCAUUCACCAACCAAAUAUUAGAAAUUCUCCAACCAAACAUGAAAAAUAAGUAAGAAAUUAACUUGUUUUCCAAGAAAAUAUUUUCUAGAAAAACAUUUUCAAUGGAAAACAUUUUCCUUCGUACCAAACACACCCAAGUCUAAGUCCAUUCUAUACUUCAAAGCAUAUAUACUAAUUGCUUCCUAUGACAUAGUAUGAGAUUUGUAAAGACCUGACACCUGGAUUUAAUUUAAUCCUAUGAACACACCCAAGUCUAAGUCCAUUCUAUACUUCAAAGCAUAUAUACUAAUUGCUUCCUAUGACAUAGUAUGAGAUUUGUAAAGACCUGACACCUGGAUUUAAUUUAAUCCCAAAAGUUAGAUAAUGUGAGAGGAUUGUCUAAAUUCAUAUAAGCAAACCUUCAAUCCAUUUUUCAUUUAACGUGGGACUUUUACUCACUCAAACAUUCUUUUCAUGCCUAGGGCCCAACUGACACGUAGAUUGGGAGACCAAACUAGGAUGAACUUCACUCUGAUACCAUAUAAAAAUAUGACACCUGCACCUAACUCAACCACAAAGCUAGCUCAUGGGAAGAGGAUUGUCCAAAUCCAUAUGUGUUGGGUUCGAAAUCGAGAGGGCGUCAUGCGGAAGCUAUUAGUUGCAAACUAUGAGACGAUAAAUAAGAUGACAACGAAAAACAAUACUAAAAACAUAAUUUUAUUAUAUGAUUUGGCCAAUUGGCCUACAUAUAAAACCUAAUAUUAAAAAAUAUAAAACUGAGAAAAUCUCCCCCUAAACGAAAAUCUUAAAAGACUACAUUGUGGAUGCUAUUAUUGUGUUAUGGUAUGAGAAGGGAUUUUCUAUUUAUAGAUAUCCAAAACCUUUCCUCCAAGAAAGAGGCUAGGCAAAUAUGGAAAAGAAUUAUAUUGUUUCCUUUCGAGAAAAGUAAAAGUAAUUAUGGUAACUUUUAUUUUCCUUCUAAGAAAAAGUAAAACUUAAAUAUAGUAAGAAAAUCAGGGCAAAAACCCUAACAAGACUUUCACCCACUUAAUUAACAAGAUUGAUGUAACGACAGUUAUGAUUUAUUUACAAAUUUGUUCUAGAAAUUCAUACGUAUUAGAAUUUAUUCCAGAAAUAUCCCUCGGCAAUAAUAAUAACAUACUUAGAACAUUCCCCCUCACGUGCUGACUUAUUUUUUUGGUCAUGGGUCAAGCACAUGAAAAUUCUUUUUAAUAAUGGGUGGCAGUGAGAUUCGAUUCCAGGACCUCUGCCUGCUCUAAUACCAUGUUGAAGUUUGUAACCAUCUAAUUUAAAAGUUUAAGUUGUUAGAGAGAGCACACUUUUAUUAUUUAAUUAUAUUCUCACCAGAGAAAUUGUUUUUGAAGGACCCUUGGCUCAAGGAUACCAACUCCAAGUAAAAAAAAAAAAUAAUGAGUAAAAAACAUAUCGAUUAAUAAGUAAAGCAAUGCAAAGCCUGCCAAAAAACGAACAAUAACAACAACAUAAUGAAAAGAAAUAUUUAAUAAGUUAAAGAUGAUAUAAUAAAUACUUUAAAAUAAGAUGAAAAUGAAAAGUAAACUUUACGAAAACAUUUUUUUUUUCAACACAAUAUAAUAUAUAUCAUACAACAGAACAUUACAUGACCAUGACCAACCAUCCAUAGGAACUAUUGAAUGGCUUUAUUCAUACAAGCAAAAGUUCUAAAGUUGCAAGAUUUUUAGGGUUUUGCCACUUAUAUUACAAAGGAUUACAUUAAUAAUACAUAAUUAAGCACUAAUUAAUUAGUUCUGAGGCUCAGAUUCAGUGGCUAUUCCCAAGGCCAUAUAUUCCUCAUAGGUGCAGCAAUGGUGAUAUUUGCAUUUAUGGUAACAUCCUUUAUGUUUAUAUCCUCCACCCUUAUAAUAAUGGUCACCUCCAACACCAUCAACGUCUACUUCCUUCGCUGCUGCAUCGAUGAAUUGAGAAUAUUAAAACUUAUGCAUAUCUAUUGAUGACUGAUCUUUGAAUUGAAAUUUCUAUUUAUGUGUUGUACUUUUCAUUUAAUUUUGUUAUAGUUUUAAGAUAAUUUCUAUCAUGACUAUAUAUAUAUGUAAAUAAAUUUUUUGUUUCAAUCUGAUAUGUUUAAGAUCACAAGAUUCAAAGGAUAUUUUAGUAUGUUCUACACACUUUUAGUUUAGUUUGGAUUGAAAAGUUUAUGCUAUAUUCUUCAAAUUCAUGCAUAGUGACUGAGACAUAUAAAAUGAAGCAUAAGGAAGGUAAAUUAAGUGUCAUGAUCAAGCUAGUGUUAGUAAAACAUUAGGUUAUCAUCUAACAUUCAUAAAACCUUACAAAUUUUAGUUCAUGGUCUAAUUUUAUAUGCUGGACGUAUCUUUACUAUGUCACUUUUUUUAUUUAAAUUCAAUUACCCAGAUAUUCGAGGCAAAGAGCGAUGAAAACACAAAGUAAUGCGUAAAGAUAUGCUAAUAUAACACAGUAACAUCAAUUGUUUCUUGUUUUUUUUUUUUUUUCAAUGAAUUCAACUACAUAAAGAGAAAAUGAAAGAUGAUACUUACAGUUGGGAGUCUCAGAUUCAGUGGCUUUUCCCAUGGCCACAUAUUCUUCAUAGGUGCAGCAUUUAUGAUAUUUGCAUUUAUGGUAACAUCCUUUAUGAUAGCCACCCUUUUUAUAGCCACCUUUGCCACCAUAGUAAUGGUCAAGAUCUACUUCUUUCUCCGCUGCAUCGAUGAAUUGAGAAUAGUAAAUCUAAUGCAUAUGCACUGACUGAUCGUUGAAGUGAAAUUUCUCUUAUUAUAAAUUAUGGCUGUCAAGUGGGCCGGGCCAACCUGGCCCUACUCGGCCCACUUAAAUAAAUCAGCCCAGUAAGCCCUAUGGCUUUAGGGUUUCAGGUCCCGGGCCGGUUAUUUUUUUAAUUUGGGCCUGGUUAACCCGACUCGGACCUAGCUCGGUCCAGGCCCGUCGGUUAACCGACCCCGCCCAGCCCGGAGUCUUUUUAUUUUUUUAAAUAAUUAUUUUUUUGUAUAAAUUAGUAUAUAACUAUACAAAUAUAUAUUCUAAUGUGUGUGUGUGUAUAUAUAUAUAUAUAUUAUAAUAUAUUUCAUUUAAUGUAUUACAUAUACAUAGAGUAGAGUGUAUAUAUGUGAAUAGAUCUUCUAUAGAAGUGUAUAUUUAACGUAUACAUGUUUAUAUAUUUUAUAAAUUAGUGUAUAACUAUACAAAUAUAUAUUGUAAUGUAUAUAUAUUGUAGUAUAUCUCAUUUAAAGUAUUACAUAUACAUAGAAUAGAGUGUAUAUAUGUGAAUAGAUCUUCUAUAGACGUAUAUAUUUAACGUAUACAUGUGUAUAUAUAUAUAAUUAUAUAUGUAUAUAUUGUAGUAUAUUUUAUUUAAACUUUAAAGUUUAAAGUAGUACAUAUAUAUUUGGAUGGUGCGUAUAUAUGUGUAAUUGUGUAUAUGUGUAUAUAUUUUUUAAAUUUUAAUGUAGUAUAUACUAUAUAUAUAGUGUAUAUAUAUUGUUUAACGUAUUUGUAAUGUAUAUAGGUGGGUAUAUAUAAUGUAUAUUGAAAUUUUUUUAUUUUUGACCGGGUUUGAUCGAUUUUUUAAUCGGGUUUGACAGGGUUUAGGUGGGUUUGACCGGGUUGGGUUAAGUGGGUCCGGUUAGGGUGGUUUUUGAUUUUUUUACUGUUGGGCCCAGCCCAGACUGGCCCACUUAGACCCCAACCCGGAACGGCCCUCAACCCGGUUAAAUAACAUGGGCCGGUUCCGGGUUGGCCUGACCCGGCCCACUUGACAGCCAUACUAUAAAUAUAUUCAUAUAAAUUUUUAGUUUCAAUCUGGCAUGUUUAAGUUCACAUGAUUCAAAGGAUAUUUUAGCACGUUUUACACACUUUUAGUUUAUAUUCUUCAAAUUCAUGCAUAGUGACUGAGACGUAUAAAAUGAAGCAUAAGGAAGGUAAACUAAAUGUCAUGAUCAAGCUAGUGUUAGUAAAACAUUAGGUUAUCGUCUAACGUUCAUAAAAUCUUACAAAUUUUAGUUCAUGGUCUAAUUUUAUAUGCUGGGCGUAUUUUUAAUAUGUCACUUUUUUUUUUUAUUUAAAGUCAAUUACCCACAGAUUCUAGAGAAAAAGCAAUAAAAAUGCAUAAAGUAAAGCAUAAAGACAUGCUAAUACGCCUAACAUAGUAAAAUAAGUAAUGCCUAAAGAUAUGCUAAUAUGCCUUUCUUUUUUUUUUUUUCUUCGAAUGAAUUCAAUUACAUAAAAAGAUAAAUGAAAGAUAAUACUUACAGUUGGGAGUCUCACUCAACUCCCUAGCUAUUACUUCGGAGCUUAUCAUUAAGAAAAUAGCCAAAAAUAGGCCAAGCAAUAGAAAUGUUUUGGAACCCAUUCUUUUGUUUUUUUCAAAGCUUAGUACUUAUGAUAAUUGAAAAUUGAGGGAUGAAGAAACUGAUACAUUCUUGGGCUCUAUUUAUAGGAAGAUUUAUAUGCAUAAAUAAUUGAAGAGAGGUGUAAAACUAGGAGGUGGGAGGGACAUGUAUUGGGAUGCAAUUAUUGUUGUGGACCAAAGAAACUUAACAACUUGGGUCUACAAGUGAGAGUUAAAGUCUUAAAGAGAAUGCUAGAUUUAACUUAUUCCGUAAUUUUUAAAUAACAGCACUAACAAGUUUAGUUAUUAUGGUAGUGAAGUUGUAACAAUACUAUUUUAAUGAAAUAUUUAAGUUUAUGCUUUGCAUGUGAAGCCUCAUUUGUUAGGCAUUGUUUUAUUCUAUGAAACUUUUUGGCCUGCAUCAAAUUUAAUUUAAAUCUAAUACCAAUAUAUUAUACGCGAAAACUAGACAUCGAGUGGAAAAUAAAAUAAAAUGAAAAAGCAAGUCAUCCAAGCAAAAUGUAGAUGUUGCAAGUAUUUACAAUGUUCCAACAACAAAAAAAAUGAACCUAACGAAUAUUUUGCUGAAUAUUUUGGCAAUUGGAAUGUUGUUCGAUCUCGUGACAGAUUCAGAAUUAUGCCGAAUCCUUUUAUAGCCAAGUAUAUAUUAUGACUUAAUAAAAGUGCAUUUUGUAUGAAGAAAGAUGUUUUUCCAUGAAAUACAUUUUCUUAGAAAAUGUUUGCUUGAAAUAUAAGUGAUUUAUUUUAGGUUAGUUUUUGAUAAAUAAGUGAAGAAUGUUAUAAUCUCAAAAAUAUUUAAAUUUAAUUUCACGAUAAAAUGGGUUGGAGAAUGGGGGCGGAAGGGCUAAAAUACUCAAAAGAUAAAGGGUUGUGGAUGUUGGAAAUCUUCCUUUUGAAAUAAUCGAUCAGUUUUUUUUUUUUCAUUUUCCUAAAUUUCUUAUCUUGUUUUAAAUUAUAUUUUUCGUUCAUUUUUAUUUGUUAAUUGUUAUAGUUCAUUUUAUGAAAGUCAAUCAAAUGAAUUUCAAAGUUAAAUUAAAGUAGAUUAAUUUAUUAUUUUAAAUUAAAUUUAGAUAUUUAAAAAUUAUAUAAAAAUAUAAGUUACUAUAUAAUCCUUCUCAUUAGUAUUAUAUAUAAGAGACAAAUCAAGGAAUUUGGUAGUUCCCACAAAAAUUUUCAAUUAAAUUUCAAUCUUUUCAAUUAAUUACUUUUUUGUCAUGAUCUUAUCUUUGAAAUCAAAUUUACUUUUUGUCUUUAGAGUUUACUUUUAGAAGUUCUUUUACCUGAUCAUUUUGAACGUGUUUUUUAUUUUUCAAUUCUUUAUUUUCUGAAUUUAUAGACAUUCAUUGACAUGAAUUACUAUUCAGAAGCCAUGUUUAAUUCUUUAUGCAUAAAGUGGAUCAUCAUUUUUCUUUUAGAAAAAACCUGACUUAGUAAACAUAAACACCUAAUUAAUUUAUUCAGACUAAGUUUUAAUUAAUUAUAAUUCAUAGUCUAAUUUAACUGUACUGCAUCCUCUCCCUUGCUAAUACUCUCCUUCCAUCUCUCCCAAUCUCGUUGUAUAUCACUAUAUUUGUAUCAAUUAUAUUCGUUUCUUAUAAUCAGCUACAUAUGAUUGUAUUUUUAUAUUUUCUUGAAUUUAUAUUUAUAUGGUCCUAUAUUAUAUAUAGUUUAAUCACAACAUUUGUAUAUAAUAAAAUCAAAGUAUCAGAUUUUUGUUCAUUUUAUAUUUGCUAAUACAAAUACGAUGGAUGACAGUUUAUAUAAAUACAAUAGCUACACCGGCUACGACUUGUAAUUUUUUAAACCAUAGUUAUGCAUGCCUAAUUUUUCCUAUAUAUAUGCUGUUUUGAAAGUUUUCCUUUUUAAAAAAAAUAAAUUCUAUACGAACUUUUGUGAUUGAUUUAUAUAAUAACUGUUUAUGAAUCUCUUUAUACUCUUUAUUGAAUUAUUUUUUAAUUCUUCAUCUCAAAAUAUUUAAUAUUAUUUUUCACUUUUUGAGGAUCAACUUACAUAAAUUUUUAUCAAUAUUUUGAAAUUAUUUUCACUAUAUUAAUGGGAGAAUUGAUAUUUAUAAUACUUUUCAUAUAAUUUUUUAAUAUUUAAAUUUUAAUUUAAAAUAUUAUUUAAUCUAACUCAAUUUAACUUUAAAGAUUAUGCAAAUAUCUUUCAAAAAAACAUGCGGUGAGAUGAAAAAAGUAUAUUAUUUAAUCUUCAUCGAGUUGUAAAUAUUUUACAUGCUUCAAAGUUUAAAUCAUAUUAUUUUAUAAAAUAUUAAAUUACUUGUAUGUCGUUUUAGGAUAAUCCUUUCCCAUUGUUGAACUACCACAUGAAAAAAACUCAUCAAAUUAAGAAGAGUAUAUUAAGAAUCCAUUUACAAUUAAUCUUUUACCCCAAAAGCCAUAUGUUUCCUCAACUAUUAUAUAUACUUCCCCAAGGAAUUUUUCGCAAACAAUACUCCUAACUCACACCCCAAAAGCUAGCUCAUGAAAAAGAGGAUUGCUCAGCUCAAACCUAAUAAGGAGAGCAAGGACCUAUAAUCCCACCGAUGUGGGAUACCAACACACCCUCGGCACGCCCAAGAUUGGACAACUGGAAAAUAGACAAUAUAAAAUGGAGGGUCCAACAUUGGAAACAAAUGAAUUGGGUGGGCCUGGCUCUAAUACCAUGUUAAAAUUAGUCUUGAACCAAACUCACACCCUAAAAGCUAACUCAUGAGGAGAAGAAUUGCCUAUGCCUUAUAAGGUGGCCAAGAACGUUAUAACCCGCCGAUGUGGGACACCACCAAUAAUAAAUAUGUUGAUGUUGUUGUUAGUAGGUUUAAGUAUACUUAAGAGGGAGAGUGUAAAUCAUGAUCAAUUUUUUUUAUUAGAAAGAUCUCAUUACUUAUUUUAAGUGUCAUUAGCGUAAGGGGGAUUAAUUAAUUAAUAUGGUUUAAUUACGUCUCGACUUGUAAAACAAGAAAAAGACUUGUAUGAAACUGAAAAUUUUAAAUAUAUGUGUACAUGAAUUUCUUGUGUCAAAUAAAAUGUAUACUCCCUACGUCCCAAAUUAGCAGCUCCAAAUUGAGAUGACACAUUGAUUAAGAAAAAUAAUUAAUAAAAUGGCUAGUUUACUAUAAUACCCCUAUUAAAUGAUAUUUACAUUUUAAUUUGAAAAAAAAUAAUUACUGCAAAAGGUAAAAUAAGAAAAAAAUUUCUGUUAUUUCUUGAUUAAUGAAAAAAAAAGUAAAAUGAGAAAUUAAAUUAGAAAAUUUGAGACGGAGAAAGUAUUUUAUAUGCAUGAAUUUGUAGUGAGAGGCGCAUUUCUUCUACUAGUAUUAAUAUAAAAACAAAUACUCCUCCUGUUUCAUAUUAUUUGGCUCCUAUGAAUUUGACCCUCUCAUUAAGAAAAUAUUAAUUAAGAGGUUUAUUUUAUCAAAUUAGCUUUACUAAUUAUAUUUUGAAAAUAUAAAUUUGAGUAAAUACACUUUAUUUAGUCAUUUAAUGUUAAGGGUAGUAUUGGAAGAACAUAAUAAAAUUCUUUUGAUUUCAUCAAAGAAACAACUAAAUUAAAAUAAAUAUUUUUUAAAAAAAGGCCAACUAAAAUGAAACGGAAAAAUUAAUAGUAGGAUAUCUUAAAUUAUUAAUCAAACUUUAUUUAAUCCGUAAUCAAACACCGUCAAAAUAGAUUUCAAACCACGUGCAUGGGUUGGUGGCCCAGAAAUUAAUGCAUGUAGAAAAUGUCAAACGGUCACUUAUCAGUUUACUUAUCCAAGACUCUUCCAACUUGCCCUGCUGCCACGCAAAAGAAAAAAAUCAUUAAAAAUAUUAUCCUUCUUACCAAACAGAAAUUGUGGGGAUAUUGAGAAAAAAUGAGUUUUCUAAUAAAAAUAGAAAAUAGAUUGUAUAAAUAGAUUUUCAUAGUACAUAGCUUCUUUUAGUGGCGGAUCCAUGAAAAUCACACUUCAAACCAUUGCAUCUAAUCAUGUGUUUGUUCAUUAGGUGUAUUUUAAUAUUUUAUAUCAUUUAUUCUAUAUUUUUUAUAUAAUUACAUCUAAUCUACGUCUAGUUUAGUGAGCAUUGAAGUAUUCGAAAAAUACACAUGGAUCCGCCCCUGACUUCUUUUCACCUUUUGACAGACCUCAUCUUCACUCUCCGAACUUAACUCCAACCCCCCGCCACCCCCUUUCUCACCAAUCCAUACACUUACCGCACCCACUCCCUCAUCUCACUUAUGGACGAAGCCACCUUAGACAAAGAACAGUUUGGUACACACUAUAUAUUCAUCAAAAAUUUAUUAUGUUCAUAUUCUAAUGAGGUUAAAUGUUAAUUAUUAUGAAUGUACAAUUAAAAAAAACUUUAUAUACUCUUCAUCAAUAUAAUAUUUUCAAUUAUAUAUUGAGUUAAAAAAAAUAAGUGUGCGUAUAUUUCUUUCGGAUCCAAUACACCCAAUAUCAUAUACAAUCAAUGUUGAUAUAUAAUUAGAUAUGAAAAAAAAUACAAGUAGCAUAUUUAAGUAUUAAAUUAUAAAAAAUAGUAAUACUUUUAUUAAAUUAUAUUUUGUAGCAUAUUUAUUUAUAUUUUUGUAGCAAUAAUUUGCAAAAAUACAAAAUAUAUAUCGAUUAUAAGGGCAGUAAAAAUCACAUAUAUUUGUAUUUUUGUAGCAACAGUUUGCAAAAAUAUAAAAUACAACUUGAUAUAUUAUGUAAUUAUGAAACUAUUGCUAUGAAACUCAAAAUUAAGGGGAUAAGUAUGCUAUUUCUGAAUUUUUCCCAUUAGAUAUUGUACAUAUACUAAUAAGAAGGACAUGAACUAGCCAUUUUAAAAAAAAAUGGCCCAUGGUUUAAAAAUGUGGACAAUUGCAGCUGGUCGGUCCAAUUUAAUUUUCUUUUUUAGUCAUUUGGCCCAAUUGGGCACAUGCAGUCUCUAUACUCAAUUGAUACACUUUUAUACCACAUUGAGAUACUUUUAUACUAUAUUGAUACACUUUUUUAAAAAGAGAAAGGAAAUUCUAUGCAAGCACCUGCAGUCCCUAUACCCAAUUGAUACUCUUUUAUACCACAUUAAUAUACUUUUAUACUAAAUUGAUACACUUGCAGUGUCCAUAUACUCAAAUUGAUACUCUCUUAUACUAGAUUGAUACAUUUUUAGAAUGCAUGUCGAAACUAUCUAGAGAGAGUCGUAUAAAAUAUGUAUCUAAAUAAUAACUGUAGUUAAAAAUUGUAUAGAAUGUGUAUAAAAAUGCUAUAAUUAAUGUAUAGAAUAUGUAUAUAUAUAGAAACUGUAUCAUUAUUAUAUAUAAAUAUAUAUCUUUAACAAUUGUAUUAUAUUAAAAGUAUAUGGUAUUGUAUUUUAUUGUAUAAAUAAGUAAAACUAAACAAAACAAAUAGUAUAUUAUUUUAAUAAUGUUGGUGAAUGCAAACUAAUAUAAAAAAAAUUGUUUAAAAAGAAUAAAAAAGAGUAGAAUAAGAAAAGGAGCCAAAAAAAGCAUCAACAAAAAUUUUAAAAAAAGAAAAGAAAAGAAAAAGGAAGGUAAGAACUUGACCUAGAAAAAUUAAACCAGUGAAUAUCUAAACAUUGUCCACCAAAAGAAGGUUAGAAAUUGGGGUAUCUAUUUCUAAACCAUUCGGUUGGAAUUACUUUCCACCGAGUGGUUAUUUAUCGGAUUUUAAAAUUUAGGUGUUAAUUUUAUGAAAUUAUUUUAGUUUUAGGUGUUAUUUUUGUCCUUUUUCUUCUUUUUUUUAAAGAAAAAUUAGCCCAACUAAAAUUUACAUAUAUACACUAAAUAAAAUUGCUUUAUUACAUAAUAUACCAAUUUGGUAAAGUAUUUACACAUAUCCCAAAAUAUUUACAUAAAUUCCUUUAUUUUCAACUUUCUCUUUCUUAAACAUUAUACAUCUCUCAACAGAUUUUCUCUUCCGUAUUUUACUCCUCCAUAUCCUCCCACAACACCCGAUUUUUACUCCAUAAUUGAACCCCCUUAUUCUCGGCAAAAUUGAAGAAUCGUGUAUCUAGGGGUUUCAACUAGUAAGUUAGAAGAUUUUUCUUUUCUUUUUUUAACUUUUUCAAUUUUUGAAGUUGAUCGUAUAUUGGGAUUGUUGCAUGUUUGUUUUACCUUACUUUGCAAGUAUUUUCAAGUUUCGUAGUUCGAUUUUUAUGUUUUCUUCAUAUAAUACUCUUGGUUUGUAGCUUUUUUUUUUUUUUUUUAAAUUUACCUAUUUUUGUAUUUUUCAAUUUAUUUUAUGAAUGUAUGUUUGUUUAUAAGGAUUUACCACAUUUUUGCAAGUAUUUUUAAGUUUUGUAGUUGAUUCGGAUCGAAUGUAUUACUGAAAAAAAUUGGUAAUAGAUUCUUGUCCUAACUUUAGUUUAGGACUUAGUCAGUUAGAUUCUAAAAAACAAGAUAUACCCGUUGGGUUUGUUCCUGGUACAUUUGAUUUAGAAGAACCCAAUUUCACAGAGAAUCGUUCAAAGCAUCGAAACGAUCCGACAACAAUGAAGAGAUUGAAGGAAACGACCACUUCCAUAUCAAAGAAAUCAAGUUCAAAAACGGCCAGUAAGAAGAAGUUUGAUGAUUCCCGUAGACCACGUCUUUCGAAGAUAUUGAUUAAACAUUGUACUUUACUUACGUUGCAACAUUAUUGUCUAAUAUAGUGGAACAUAGAAUUUUGUGCAACACUAAUGUAUAAUAUUACUAAUAUGUUAUACAUUUCAUUUUUUUUAUACAUUGAAUAUUCUUAUUACAUAUUAGAAGCAUUUGGAACUGGGUGUGUUAUUAUACAUUUAUGAAGUCUUCCUUUUGUAUAAGGUUUUAUUAUACAGUCUGACAACAUUGUAUGUCAUAUAUGUUUAAGGUGAAAUGUUUAGUCUGACAUUAUAUAUUGCAUAUAUUUGAUUACUAAUGUAUAAUUUUAUUACAUAAAUUUUAUUAUACAUUGCUUUUCAUACUAUAUUAUACAUAACAAGUAUUGUAUGGUUUAGUUGAUAUUAUACAUUUAGGGAGUUAUACAUUUCAUUUUUUUAUACAUUGGAUGUUCUUAUUACAUAUAAGAAGCAUUUGGAACUGAGUGUGUUAUUAUACAUUUAUGAAGUCUUCCUUUUGUAUAAUGUUUUAUCAUACAUUCUGACAUUUAGGGAGUUUUCAUACUGUAUAAAGUGACAUUAUACAUCUGAAUAGCUGAUAUGUCAUACAUUUUUGUAAGGUGAACUAGUUUAGUACGCAACAGUAUACAUUAUUGCAUCUCAAACAUUUGUAACUUUUUGUGUAAUUAUUGUAUUAUUUUAUUAUUUUAGGGCAUGAAAUACCGUAUAAAUAAAGUCCCGGAGCACCCUUUGCAUAUUUUGAGCUCAUGCAAUCGUGAUUUUGCUGAAGACAUAAAGUCUUAUUUUGGAGAUGAUAUUUUUAGGACAUUUAGAAAUACGUUAUUUGGGAUUUGCUUGACCUUCCGUAGUGCAAUUGGAUUAGGUAGAUUUCAAAAUGUAUCCUUAUGCUAGAAAUCCAAUAAUAUAUUAAGGACGAGAUACAUGUGUGUGUGCAGGGGAAGAUUUUAAAAUUUAUCAUGAAUUUGUCAUUAUCAGCGGCCUGACUGCACCGAUGAUAUUGAUGAGUUUAUGUAUACUUCAUCAUCAAAAUCCCCUUUGAUUUUAAAGUAUUUUUCUAAAUCUGGAGGUGAUAUAACUAGGUCAAAACUGAUAACACGUGUGAAGAUAGGAAAUUUCAAGAACUCUGAAUAUGCUUUGAACUUUGCGAUAUUAUAGUUUGUUCAUACAUUCAUGUUAUCUCAGCAUAAAGAAGCACCAAUUAGUGUAGCUCACUUUCAAAUGAACGAGGAUGGUCGGUACAUACACUUUUCAUGGGGAAAGAUAAUUUUUAAAAAGUUGAUCAACUCAUGGCGGCAAGAGUUUAGAGUCGUAAAGCAGUUAUAUUCUUUGGGUGGAAUGCCCCACGCUCUAAAUGGCUGGAUAUUUGAGUGUUGCUCUUCAGUUGAUAAAAAAAUUGCUUUGCGACAUGAAAACAUCAUCCCAAGAACACUUAACUGGUCUAUGGAGUGUACAAGGUCUAAGUAUAAAUCUUAAGUAAGGUAAUUAUAUAACAUAUUAAAUAUUUUUAUUUUAUACUCAACUUAUCGAAGUUUUAAUAUUUCAUUUUAAAAAUAAUUUUUGCAGUGUUCUUUCAAGAAUUUACAACCUACAAGUGAAGAAGUUCGUACUUUAGAUUUGUCUUUCUCUGAGGAUUUUGUGAUUUUUGAUCCAAUAUCUGCUGCUUCCACUUCUGUUGCUGCAACAAUGCAAACAUCAGGCGAUGAAGAUCAAUCGCGUGUUGUCACUGCAGAUGACGAUUAUGAUGAUUUCCCCACUGGACCUACUCAGGAAUUUCUAUAAAAGGCUCAUUUGGCUACACCUUUAUCAACUAAACAGCCAUCCAAAAGAAGUAAAACAGUUAUGUUUCAGGAAGUUAGUUCAGCUGUGACAAAUGCACAAAAAUCAACAAGUUCUCAUUCAGUACGUCACGUGUCUGGUAUGUUUUCUAAAAUACAAUAACAAUUAAUAGAUAAGCUACAAAUUCGUGUGUCUGAUUUUGAUCAUCGUCAUCAAGUAGAAAUUGGUGUGUCUCCUGAGUGCAAACAAAUCAAGUCUGUUCCUUCAUCUUCCACAACGCCUGAAGGAACUUCUAAGUCUAAUUUAGAUAUGGAGCAGAUAAAGAGUUACAUCAAAAUAUAUGUAAGUUAAUUUUCUCAUUCACAAAUUAUUAUUUUUGAAAAGUAUUACUUGUUUCUAAUAUCUUAUUGUUUAUCUGUACGUUAUAAGGUUGAUAAGCAAAUUGCUGAGCUGAAAACACUAAUCUCCAAUAUACCUGCUGAGGUCGUUAAAGCAUUGAAGAAAGAAGAGAAUAAAGAAUCUCCGGUAUAAAAUAAUUUUCCUUCAAAUUUUUAAUACUUUGAAUAAAUACUCAUACAUUAGAAUUAUUCAUGAUAUAUAGGAGGAGAAAAUUGUUCAUCAACGAGAAGGUGUACAGGGAGGCUAAAAAAUAAAUGACAGUAUUAAUAAGAAUGAGUUGCGGGCAAUUUUAAUCUACAUUACAUUGUCAUGUUACUAUUAAUCUGUAUAACUCCAACAUCUUAACCUUUUUUUGUUUGGUUCUUAUACAGCAUGAAGAUGAGUACACCAGACCAGUCAUUCACAUAACAAAUGAUGAACCAUCAGUAAUUGAAACUUUGGAAACAGAUCCAAGAUUGUGUCCACAUUCAUACUGAAUGUCCAACAAUAACUGAGGUUCAAUUCAAACAGAAAGUAUAUAUAUGAUAUGUAUAAAUAUGGUUAUACAUUCACAACCAUGCAUAAUAGUUAUCAAAUUAUAAAAAAAAUAUUUUCAUUCAUCAAUAUAUAAAUUGAAUUAAAUGUAUAGACAUCCUAUUGUCAAUUUUUUGUAGGAUGAGCACAUGAAUGAUAAAGAAGAGGGACAUGAAGAAGAAUCGCAAAACACUCACAGUAAUAAUAUGAAAGAUAUAUCGAUACAUUUUUGUCUCUCAUGUUGGUUUGUUCUUAGAUGAGAUGAAUCUCAAUAUUUUAAAACGCUUUACUUGUAGGCUGUUACAGUAUUAUUAUGCAUACAUUUGAAUGUAUAAUGAUAUGUUAUACAUUAUUAAUACUGAUAGUCUAUUUGAGAAAAUGAAUGUUCUUUAUGAAUAUCCUCAUACAUAUCUAUGUUACUUACAAUUAUUUAUGUAUGAACAUUGCUCAAUAACAACUCAAACAAAGUGUGAAUACAUUCAUACGCACUCCUUACAGACACCAUCUGCAAAUCAGUAUUAUAAUAUUUUUCCCUUUCCAACUAGUGGUUACUUUGAUUAAAUGUUCAUACCUUCUAAUUAUCACUUAAUUUAGGUUGACCUUAUCCCUGAUAAAGAGCAAGCUGGUCUUGAAGAUUUGGUGAAAGAACAUGGUCCUGUGAUGGUAUCUUUGUUGUUAUUUUUUCAAAACUCUUGCUGGUUUAAUUUACAUCGUAAUACUAUCUUAUUUUGAGACUAUUUUAGUUUCAUUAUACAUUCAUUUGAAUGUAUAACAUUAUGUUAUAAAUAAAAUCAGCACAUCACAAAUACAUAUGCAUUUGUUAUACAUUUCAAUUUCGAAUCAUCAGUAUAUAUUUUUUUAAUUAAACUACGUAUCACUUUGAAUAAGCUUUCAUACAUAAUAAUUGUUAAUGAAUGUAGGAUGAGCAUAAUGCUGCAGAAGAAGCAGGUUGUAUUGAAGAAUUGAAUAUACAACAUAGCCCUGAUAUGAAAUAUUUAGAGGUACUUUUUUGGUUGUUCAUAUUAUUUUUUAACUCAAAACUUACAUGCUUAUACAUUCACACCCAUGCCUAAUACAUAUCAAAUUAUAUAAAAAACUUUUCAUUCACAAUUUUAUGACUUUUCAAAUCACCAUUACAAUUUUUUUUCACUGAACUAUGUCUUACUUUGAAUAAAUGUUCCGACAUUCUACUUAACUCUUAAUUUAGGAUGAGCUUAUGCUCGAUAAAGAGGAAACUAGUGUCGAAGAUUUGGGAAAAGAGCACAGUCAUGUGAUGAUACAUUUCUUGUUAUUUUCUGUUUUACUCCUGCUGAUUUAACACUUCAAAUCUAAAUGCAUAGACUUACGACACAUUACUAUUAAAAAAGGAUCAUAAUAUUCCUAUAUGCAUAUCUAAAAUUUUCAAUUUUCAUUCUACAAUGAUUUAUUUUUGUUUUGUUACUUCGUAUUAUGUACUUCUAUUAUUGGUCUUUAUUAAUUAUAGCUCAUAAUGAAUAUUUAACAGUAUAUGAACUGAUUCUACCUAAGUAUAGUGGAUUAUGUAUAAUGUACAUUGCAAUACUAUCCUAAUUUGGGAAUGUUCCAGCUUCAUUAUACUUUCAUUUAAAUGUAUAACAGUAUGCUAUACAAUCAUACAGAGUAUUAUACAUUCAUAUUCAAUUUUUACAUAUACAGAUUUCAAAUCACCUUAACAUAUUUAUUUUCUUACAUAAUGAUUUUAUUUAAAAUAGUAUGAUCAUAUUGUCGCAAAAGAAUCACGUUGUGCUGAAGAAUUGAACAAACAUCAUAGUACUAAUGUGAAGGGUUUGUAAAUAUUUUUUUGAUAGUUCAUAUGUUGUUUUUUAACUCAAAAACUAUCUACAUAAAUGUAGCUUCUGUUUAGGUAUAAUUAACGUCAUACAUUAAUAUGUUUGCUUUUACACAUAACACAUCAAUAUUUUUUCUGUAGGAUGAUGUCAAUGCCACAAUAAUGGAGUCUGUUCAAGAUGCUUUAGAUGUACUAUUAUUUGAGUUGUCAAUACCAUCAAAUACAAAUAAAUUCAAUGUUGUUACACCAAAUAUAGUGACAAAAAAUGACCACUUUCAGAUAGUCAGUUUCCACCUGAUUUUUCGGAUGCUCAAGUAAGGGAGCUUAAAGCACCAAAACACGUGAAGUCAAAAAAUCACCUGUAAAAAGAGAUCGAAAAAAGUCGAAGAUUUUUAGGUCACCAUACAUCAUAAAAUUUGGAUCGAGCUCUAAAGAUAAGGGCAGUUCUGCUAAUGAAGAGAAGCAAAUGUAUGCUUUUGAUAGUUGUACCAUUUACGAAGAUUUGUCUAAUCAAUUGAUUAGUGAUUAUUCAUAGUGACUUGAAAUUGGGUUACUCAAAUAUCAUGUUUCCAAGUAAGUUAUUUAGAUAGAUUUCUAAAUUAUUAAAAAUAGUACAGAAGAAUAAAUCUUGGAGAAGUCUAAUCCUUGAUUAUGUUACAGGAAACAAACAGACAAUCACUAUCUAAAAAAUGCUCCAGGAUUAGGUUAUUCUUUAUUGGACUUUGUUGUUGCACAAGCACUCUCAAAGAAUUGGUUCUACUUGAUUUCGCAACACGUGUUGGAAUGAUGAGGUAAAUUAAACUAAACUAUAUCAUGCUUCUUUAAACUUUUACUAAAAAUGUACUCAUUAUUACGAAAUAAAUAGAAUCUAAUAUAUGAUUACAUAUCAUACAUGUGGUCUCAUGUAUAACCACAUUUUAAACAUGUCAUGGUAACAGAUCAUACAUUCAUUAUCUUUGUUGAAAACAUAAUAAUAACUAUAACAUAUGACUUUGUUUUAUGAUUACAUAUUAUACAUGUGGUAUGAUAUAUAAUCACAUUUUAUACAUGUUAUGUUAACAGAUCAUAUACUCAUGUUCAUGACCAAUACAUAAUAAUAACUAAAAUAUAUGCCUUAGAAUCAGUUGUAUGGUUAAAUAUCAUACAUGUUGUGUGAUUUAUAAUCACAUCAUAUAAAUGUAAUGAUACUAGAUCACUAAUUCAAGUUCUUAAGCAAUACAUACUAAUAACUAAACAUAUGCAUUUUUAUUUCAGUGUUUAACAUAAUCUUACCCUUUUUAACAUGUAGCACUUAGAUGUGAUAUUCUACCAUUUGACAAAAAAAUCAAAGUUGCAACAGUGUGAUACAUAUAGAUAUACGAAAAUCAGCUGCUUCUUCAAAACAUAUAUUGAAAAGACAUACGAACGAUAUUUUCCAACAGUUAAAGCAGAGCAGAUAUCCACGCAAGAAAACUACGUAAAAUUCGUUGCUUGUUCUUCAAAUGAAAUUGAUAUAACAAAUAUAAUUAAUGGAUUCUGUAAUCCUGCGAAUUUACCAUGGCAUUUGGUUGAUGAGGUAUAUGUUCCUGUUAACUGUGAAAAAGAAUAUCACUGGGUAUUGACUGUAAUUGUGUUAAAGAAAAGAACGGUACGUGUGUAUGAUUCAUCGUCAAGCAAAAGAAAAAAUGAACCACCAAUCGAAAUACGAAAUUAGCAGCCAUGCUGCGUACUUACUUGUCGGACAGUGAUGUUUUUCAAAAGACUGAAAGAAUUGACUGGUCAACACUUAAAGCGUACGAAGGGAAGCUUGGUCUGCAAACUGGAGAGAUAAGUCACAACCCAUUUGAUAUUGAAUACGCCAAAAACAUUCCACAACAAGCGUCUGAUAGUUUGUAAGUGUCUUUUACUUUUUAAAUUUUAACAUAUAUAAUCAUGGUAAAUUAGUUAAAGGAAUGGUUCUUUCAUUUUUUUAAAAUAUCAGGGACUGCGGGGUCUUCGUGGCUGCAUAUGCAGAAAUAUUGAGUGAAGGGCAGCAAGUCCAUUCAUGUGAGUUUGAAGGUUGCAAGUCAACGUGCAUGAUAUGCUUCGUUACUAUGGCAUUACGGAGUGAUGAAGACAAAGAAAGGUUAUACGAGUGAUAUUGACGAUCCUCCUCGGCCAAAAAAUACUUUUGUCCAAUCACCUGAUGAAAGUGCAAUUGUUACUUUGGAGUAGCUCCUUCUAAAAAUAUUCUAAUUGCUUUUUUAGUUGUUUCUGCUAAAUAGUUAUACACAGUAAUAUUUUUUUGAAUGUUGAUUUUUACGCAACAUUAUAUGGGUGGCAGUUUUUGUUCUACUACAUUUACAUUUACAUAAACUCUAUUGUGCUUAUUCUAUAUUGUUUGUUAAUUAGUCACUUUGCCAAACAUAAUAUUACCAACACUGUAUAACAACAAUUUAUAUAUUAAUGAAUUAUAUAUAGGUAAAACAUUGUGUUUUUUUCCAGCAUUAAAGAAGUUAAUAUUAUAUUAUGAGUUAAUUAUACAUUGAACAAGUAUCAAUUUAUUUUUGAUAAAUUUAUUAUAUAACAUCAUACACGUUGACACUCUUUCAUUGCUGAAUUGAAAACAGCUAUGGCAUUCAAAAAAAUUUAAGAAGAAUAACAGCAGAUCGUAAAUUCUAAACAAACAAAAUGUAUUAGUCAUUUGACGUAAUACUGAUAAGAAAAUAAGAAAAAGUUUUAAUACCAUACAUACAUCUUAAUGUAUAAUCUAUACUCUUAACACAAAAUUCUUUGCUUUAUAUUUUGCUAGUUCUUAUGUUUUUUAAAAUCAUUUACUUUAAUAUCAUACAUGUUGUUAAUGUAUAAUAGUAUAGAAUACAUAAUAUAUAUAAGACAGGUUAAUGUUAAAUAUAUUAUACAUUAUAACUACAUAUUACUACGUUACAAUAAUGAGCAGUAAAGUCACAAAAUAUAAUAAUUCAAAACUGUAUUAUUUGGUUGCGAAAAUAUCAAACAUUAAGUAAUAAUUAAACAUCACAUAACAGUUAAAAACAUAAAAUAAACUUUAACAAGUAUCAACAAAAUAAAAAAAAAUGAUGUUCUGUAGUUAUAACCAAACGAACAAUUAGCAUUUAGAACAACAAAAUAAAAUCUGUAACUUUUUUUGGGGAAGAAACCUCACGUCCUAUGGUUGUGGCCUGCACGCCUGCAUUUACUGUAAUGAUUUGAACUUAUAAGUGAUUCACUAGAUUUCAAAUGCCUUCCUUUCUUUGGCCUCCUAGGAGGUCUUUUGUAUUUGGGUGGCAAAACUUCGUCGGCAUCAACAAAAUGUGAAACAAUCCAAUCUUUCAUCUCUGGCAUAGGAACUAUGGGGAGUUCAUAUGUCUUGACAAUGGUGUUUGGCCUGUACAAUUCUGAACAGUAACGUCCAUACUCUUUUAAAUCAAUAUUUAUACUCUUCAAAAUGCUAUUGCGUGUGCACAUGAAAUUUCAUCAAUUUGAUACCGACAACAGUUACACGUGUCAUGAUCAAUAUCAAUAAUGUACCUCCUUCCUGAUUCAUACACACAGUACAGAUAACUACCAGCAGCCUUAACCUGUUAACAAUGAUUAAUUUUAUACAGUAAAAAAUAUAUAAAUUAAUAACAAAUAUAAAGUAGAUUCAACUAUCAUAAUACAUACCAUCAUCCGUAAUGACUUAACUCCAUUAUCAGUUAGAAUUUCUUGAAAUCUUCUCCCAAACGUUGUGUUUGUAUAAGAUGCAAUUUCACUGUUCUUACAAUUCCAUGCAGCGAAUAGAAUCUUAACUUCUUCAAGGAAAUCUAAAAUAGGAAGUACUCUAGCCUCUACCAAACAACAGUUAAUACAUUCAACUAUAUUAGAGGUCAUCAUUCUACCUUUAUUAAUAGGAGAGUGACAUCGAGAUCAUUUAUCAUAUCCAGCUUUUUCCAGAUAUUCCUUAACCCUUGGAUCAACCUUUUCAACCUUUGACACAAUGUAAUCAAAAUUUUCUUUUCUAUACGCUUUAGCCAUGGAAUAAUAAAGGUCACUAAGUCUAUCUUUGCUUUUUCUAAAAUAUUUAUAAAUAUUUUUUCAUAAAUGUCAAAUACAUGCAAGAUGGGGGACAUUAGGAUAAACAAUGCUCUCGCCCUUUAUGAUACACUCAUUUCGAUCCGAUACAACACACAUAUUGUCCCGUUUUCCAAAUGCUUCUUUAAAUUGAUGAAAAAAUUAAGUCCACGCAUUGUCAUUUUUUGAAUUCACAACACCAUAAGCUAAUGGAAGAAUACAUCCUAAACAAAAACAAACAAACAAAUUUAUAUGUAUAGUUCUAUAAUAUGUGUACACCACUGAACAGGUUUCUAAUUAUUUUACAUUUAAGUAAUACAUGACAUCAUACAUGUUGUCCCACCUUUAUCACUUAAUUGAAAACAAGUACAAAUAUAUAACAUCACACAUUUUAAUAACGUAUAACAAUACAUCAUACAUUGUAAAAAUACUGCUAGGAAAUUAUACAUUUAAUUAUUAGUAAAUGUAUGAGACAUUAAACGUAAAAUUGACAAGAAAAUAUUGAUAUUUUACAACAUCAUACAUACACCAUAACGUAUAAUCGCUAAUCAUACACAUAUCACACAAAUCAAAAUCUACUUAAGUUUUACUUAUUCUGUUUUAAAAUGAAAAUGCAAUUUAUAGAGUUGUUUAAACAGAAAGUAGCAUCUACUUUAUAAAAAAAAUUAAUAACACAAAAUAAAAGGCAUAAAAUCAGCUACUUGGUGAAGUACUAUAUGUACUCACUAAGCAAGUCCAAAUUUUAUUAUACAUACAUGGGCAACAUACAAUCAGCUAUAAUUCAUGCACAAUGCUGAAAUAUCAAAGAUGAAAAUUUUAAAGUAUGAUACCUGCACCAUCAAGAGUGCUCGCUGAUACAAACGUUCCUUGAUAUGGCCCGAUUAAAUGAGCACCAUCUACAACUACUAUUGGAUGGCAAAAUUUGAACCUCCUAAUCAUUGGAUGUAAGGCAAUAAAUAAGUAUUUAAACUCGUUAUCUAAUGUCUUAUCCAUCCGAAUGUAUGAUCCAGGAUAUACCUGGUUCAACAUAUAUAUAUAACGGGGCAUUUUUCGAUAUCCAUCAGCUGGUCCACCUCUAAGAAUCGCAAUUGCCUUUUCCUUUGCCCGUCAAGCCAUCAUGUAGUUAAUAUCAACACCAUAGACGACCUUCAUCUCUUCAAUUAUGUCUGUCGGUGUAUGUAUUCUCUUGUAAUUAAUUAACUUUGGUGCAGUAAAUUCACUGACAAAGGCUGUUGUUGCAACCAAAUUAUUCAGUAUUCUAUCACUCAGACUGCAAUUAUGUUUCGAAUCAAAUAUCUUUAUCGCAAAAAUUUCCGAAUGAUUCAUCGAAUAUGCCUUUAGAACACAUUUGCAAUCUUUGACACGGCAGUGUAACACAUAGCUGCAGUUACAUUUUAAAACAUGUUGUCAAUUUAUUAACGUACAUAUAAAUUCAAUAAUUUAAGUCAAAAUACCAUAAUUAAAUUGUUAUAGUUUUAUUAUACAUUCGAAUGAAUGUAUAAUGGCAUAUUAUACAUUGUAAAUAAAACUCCAUUUUGUGCAAACAGCAAAACCAGAAAUUGAAGUCAACAAUGAAACUCCAUUACCAAAGGCUAUUACAACACAACAACAUCCUUCACAACAUCUACAAAUAAAAAAUGAUAAUUUAUUUCAUACCUUUGUUUGUCAGAUCAUUUAGUAAAGGUGUUGAAGCCAUUCGAUAUCGCAUAUUUCGCCAUAACCGAUACCAAAGUUUGCUUAUCCUUAUAACGCUGGUUAACUUUUAUUUCAGUGUUCUUCAAAUUCCAGAACGUAUAAUGAAUAUUGAUUCUGAGUUUCAACAACAGUUAAAGCAACUGAAUCAGAUUCACUACCUUCAAUACACAUUACAACCCCAGUUUUACUAUCAAACUCGAUAUCCUUAAUCGAUUUAUUGAAAGUUUGUAUACAUAGCGAAAAAUUUAUAAUUCCAGAACCUUGUUUCUUCAACUCAAUAUAAACCUUCACUCCAUUAUCAUUUCUUAUGAUAAUUGGAGAAGAAUUACCAUCAACGAUGUAUUUUACUUCAAUUUUUUUCGUACAUCGUCAAUACCCAAUUCCAUCAUGAUUUUCGCAAUCAAUUUCAAAAAGUUAAUACUUUCUGAAAUAACAAUGGCAUCACUUUUGUAUGCUUUAAAACUUAUUUCUGCCUCCCAUACACCAGAAUGACGCAAACAUAUUGGGAUGUUCAUCUUUUUUCUCACAAGAAAUCACGAACAAAAUUUUUUUUCUUCCGAAUCGUAAAUCAAAAAAGAAGUCAAUUAGAGGUAAAGUUUAAGAGUUUUUUUUUUAAAUUCAAAUAUCAGUUACUAUUUUAACUCAUACAAUAAUUAACAUCAGGUAAUUAAAUAGCGUAAUUUAAGAAGUAGGGAUACAUUUACUAAUUCUCAAUCUCAUAAUUUUAGGUUAAUCAGAUUUAUGAUACAUUCAACGAACGUAUAACUACCAUCCGAAUGUAUGACAAUAUUUUACAAAAUAAGGAGAGAGAAAAUUUCAAGGGAGAUUAUGUAAAUAGUUUUACUUUAUGCGAUAUAUAUAUAUAUAUAUAUAUAUCUAUCUAUAUAUAUAUAUAUAUAUAUAUAUAUAUAUAUGUGGUUUAUACCGUCUAGAAAUGGUGGUGCAAAUAUACUCUUCGAUAUAGUCAAAUGUUUAGACUUAAAUGACGUAUUCAAUGACUCUUUUAGUGUACUAUCAAGUUUAAAUAAGAGGCCAGGACAAUCUCGUCAAUUUUCUUUAAAACUCGAGAAAAGUCUUCCAGAAAAUGACCUAACAAUACAACAAAAAAAAUUCUUCUUUCCUUGCUCUAAUAGAGUUUACAUUAUAUAUACAUUGAUGGCAUAAAAUAUUCAUAUAUUAUCAAUUCAUCUUUAAAAUGUUUAUAAUUAUUUAACUGCAUUUAUUUUUAUUACGUCUAAAAUGAUGAAAAUUUUAAUGAUGUUUUCCAUAGAAUCAGUCAGAAAAUGUCCGACGAGCCAAACUUCAACGAAUUUUCGAUCGGACACUAAAAAAGAUUUUCAUAUGACAAUUUUGUUCCACAAUAGGAUGUUUCUUGGGCACCGGCCGAUAUUUGUUACAUAUAACAACUUAAUUAUCUGCACACUGAUCUUUUAUGGUUAUUUACAAAUUGUAUAAAGGAAAAUUAUCUGUUCGAAUUUCGUAUAUGUAAAAAUAAAGAUCUUUUGUAUAAAGAACUUACGACGAAAGAUAAGAUUAUAAAAGAGUGCAAAACCAAAUCUUUCUUAUAAUUUAUUGCUAAUCUUUGUCAAGAUUAACAAUUAUGAAUUAGCGAAGAAUCUUGUUAUUUAGCUAAUAAUUAAUCCGUCCAUCGUUGUUUUCUAGCACUGAUAUUCGAGUUUUAAUAUCGUCCAAUUUGUAAUUAUUCCCCCCGUCUUCUCUAUCGAUCGAUGAGAUGGCUGCAACUGAACAAUUGACACCAUUAAAAUUCAAUGAGACACCAAUACAUCUCAUAGGCUAAGUCCCUUUUAUGCUCCGAAGGACGAUCACUUUGUCUAUGACUACCUUUCUAUACUUCAAACCGUAUGCUAAUUGCUUCCUAUUACAUGGUAUGAGACUUGUAAGAGUGACUCCUGCACCUAACUCAACCAAAAGCUAGAUCAUGGGGGAGGGGAUUGUCCAAUUACAUAUAAGUAAAUCGUCAGUCCAUUCUCCAAUUUAUAAUGUGAAACUUUCACCACUCUUAACAAGAUUGAUUUAAUGCAAGUUAUGAUUUAUUUACAAAUUUGUUCAGGAAAUUCCUACAUAUUAGAACUUAUUCCAGAAAUAUUCCACAACAACAAUAAUAACAUAUAUACUCAGUAAAUUUUCAUAAGUGGGGUUUAGAAAGUACAGUGUAAGUUGAUCUUACUACUAUCUCAUGGAGGUAGAGAGAUUCUUUCUAAAGAACCCUUGGCUAAGUGUACCAACUCCAAGUUAAAAAAAAAAAAAAAGAAACAAACAGUAAAAAAUUUUAUGGAUUAAUAAGUAAAGCAACGCAAAGCCUACAAAAAAGGAAGAAUAACAACAAGAAGCUAGAUAAUAAGAAAAAAUAUUUAAUUAGGUAAAGACCAUAGAAUAGUUACUUUAAAAUAAGAGGAAAAUUGAACUUUAUAGAAACAUUUUUUGUUCAACACAAUAUCAUAUGUAUUGAGUAUCAUACAGAACAUUACAUGACCAUGACCAACCAUCCAUUGGAACACUAUUGAAUGGCUUUAUUCAUACAAGUAAAAGUUCUAAAGUAGCAAGAUUUUUAUGGUCUUUGCCACUUACAUAACAAAGCAUUACAUUAAUAAUACAUAAUGAAGCACUAAUUAAUUAGUUCUGAGGUUUAGAUCCAGUGUCUUUUUCCAUGGCCUUAUAUUCUUCAUAGGUGCAGCAAUGUCCAUGGCAUUUAUAAUGACAUUUUUUAGGUUUAUAUCCACCAUCAACUUCUACUUCCUGCUGUGAUUCAGUGGCUUUUUCCAUGGCCAUAUAUUCUUCAUAGGUGCAGCAAUGGCCAUGGCAUUUAUAAUGACAUUUUUUCUUAGGUUUAUAUCCACCAUCAACUUCUACUUCCUGCUGUGAUUCAGUGGCUUUUCCCAUGGCCAUAUAUUCUUCAUAGGUGCAGCAAUGGCCAUGGCAUUUAUAAUGACAUUUUUUCUUAGGUUUAUAUCCACCAUCAACUUCUACUUCCUCGUGUGAUUCACUGGCUUUUCCCAUGGCCAUAUAUUCUUCAUAGGUGCAGCAAUGUCCAUGGCAUUUAUAAUGACAUUUUUUCUUAGGUUUAUAUCCACCAUCAACUUCUACUUCCUCGUGUGAUUCACUGGCUUUUCCCAUGGCCAUAUAUUCUUCAUAGGUGCAGCAAUGGCCAUGGCAUUUAUAAUGACAUUUUUUUUUAGGUUUAUAUCCACCAUCAACUUCUACUUCCUGCUGUGAUUCAGUGGCUUUUUCCAUGGCCAUAUAUUCUUCAUAAGUGCAGCAAUGUCCAUGGCAUUUAUAAUGACAUCCUUUGUGUCCUCCACCUUUAUUAUAAUGGUCACCUCCAACACCAUCAACGUCUACUUCCUUCGCUGCUGCAUCGAUGAAUUGAGAAUAUUAAAACUUAUGCAUAUGCAUGUACUCACGACUGAUCUUUGAAUUGAAAUUUCAAUUUAUGUGUAGUACUUUUCAUUUCAUUUCGUUAUAGUUUAAGAUAAUUCCUCUUACUAUUAUAUAUAUUUAAAUAAAUUCUUAGUUUCAAUAUAAUAUGUUUAAAUAUUUUGAAUUGAAAUUUCAAUUUAUGUGUCGUACUUUUUAUUUUAUUUUGUUAUAGUUAAGAUAAUUCCUCUUACUAUGAUACAUAUUUAAAUAAAUUUUUAGUUUCAAUAUGAUAUGUUUAAAUCUACAAGAUUCAAAGGAUAUUUUAGUAUGUUCUAAACACAAUUUAGUUUUGUUUAGCAAGGAUUGAGAAGUUUAUGCUAUAUUCUUUAAAUUCAGGCAUAGUAACUGAGAAGCAUAAGGAAUAUAUAUUAAGUGUCAUGAUCAAGCUAGUGUUAGUAAAACAUUAGGUUAUCAUCUCACAUUUAUAAAAACUUACAAAUUUUAGUUUGUGGUCUAAUCUCAGAAACAACUUCUCUAUCUUGCAAAGAUUGGAGUAACAUCAACUUACAUAUUCUAUAUAUCUUCCGUAGUCUCUACUUAUGAGAUUACACUGAAGAUAUAGUGUGUGAUUUAAUUUUAAAUUUUCAUAAAAUUUUCAGAAUGCUCACAUUGAAUAUAAUUUUAAACAGUGGUUUAAAAGUUCUAUUAAGUAGCAUAAACAAUAAAAAGAUGACCAUUUACUAAAAGGAAAAGCCGAUUAAAAUAAGAUAUUAUCUUCAAUUAAAUGCUAGGAGUAGAACCUGUUAAAAUACUAAUAGCAUUUCACAUGCUGGACAUAUAUUUACUAUGUCACUAAAUUAAGAGCGAUAAAAAACGUGUAAAGUAAUGGAUAAAGAUAUGUUAAUAUGGCUAACGUAGUAACAUCAAUAGGUUUUUUUUUUUUUUUUUUUUUUUCCGAAUGAAUUCAAUUACGUAAAAAGAUAAUGAAAGAUAAUACUUAC